rnacentral:rRNA from 1 species
AUACGGAGGACGCGAGCGUUAUCCGGAUUCAUUGGGUUUAAAGGGUGCGCAGGCGGCCGUGCAAGUCAGCGGUGAAAGCCCGGGGCUCAACCCCGGAAGUGCCGUUGAUACUGCAUGGCUGGAAUGCGGUCGAGGCGGGCGGAACGGGGCGUGUAGCGGUGAAAUGCGUAGAUAUGCCACAGAACGACAAGAGCGGAGGCGGCUCGCCAGGCCUGCAUGGACGCUCGGGCACGAAAGCGUGGGGAUCGAACAGGUUUAGAUGCCCUGGUAGUCCACGCCGUAAACGAUGGGCGCUCGUCGUCGGCGGCAGACAGUCGGCGUCCAAGCGAAAGCGAUAAGCGCCCCACCUGGGGAGUACGGUCGCAAGGCUGAAACUCAAAUGAAUUGACGGGG